CCCAGUGCUGACAGAAACUUUGCUGAGGUUAGCAAACAACAUGUCUGAAGGUAUCGCGGAGGUAUGUGGGAUUCUGGAUACAUUGAUCUAAACUGGAUGCCAUGACUCCUGAAGAGGACUGAAGAGAACUGGACUGGGAUGUUUGGCCCUCCAGCGGUCCUGCCCCCCACCCCCCUCCUCACCAUGGCCCACCUCCCUCUGGUCAGAACUGCUGGGAUGACCUACGUGGAGCAUUGCCUACUGCAACAGGAACGCAACUCACACUUCCUGGCCUCUCAGAAUACAAAGCGAGAAGGCCCCACCUUGGCCACACCCAUCUACCAGCACGCUGAAAUCCAUCAACCGCAGCACCAACACACACACCAAUACACACACCAACACACACACCAACCGCAGCGCCAACACACACACCAAUACACACAACAGCAUCAGCACCAACACACACAACAGCAUCAGCACCAACACACAUUCAGCCUUUACACUCCUGCACUGCGCCCCCCGGCUACCCGGUCUAUGCUCUUCCCCUCCCUCCUCUCAGUGGGACCCAACAUGGCCUCAGUGCUGCCACCUGCUGGACCCUUUAGCCCCCUGCGGAGGGCCUGCCAGCCAAAGAGACCACGCGGAUGGUAUGCCAUGCAUGUGACGAUUGCUUGGCAGGUUUACCUCCAGCAGCAGAAAGCAAAGCUCUCCUCCGAGUUCCACACGCGGAACUACAGGCUGCAGCAGAUAGAGAAGUCUCAGUCAUGUGACCUCCCCAGCAUAGGUAACACUCUAAACACAAACACACUAACCCUAACCUUAACACUCUAAACACACUAACCUUAACACUCUAAACACACUAACCUCAACACUCUAAACACACUAACCUCAACACUCUAAACACACUAACCUCAACACUCUAAACACACUCACCUGAACACUCUAAACACACUAACCUGAACACUCUAAACACACUAACCCUAACCUUAACACUCUACACACACUCACCUUAACACUCUAAACACACUCACCUUAACACUCUAAACACACUAACC
ensembl:lncRNA